rnacentral:rRNA from 1 species
CCUACGGGUGGCUGCAGUGAGGAAUAUUGGUCAAUGGGCGCGAGCCUGAACCAGCCAAGUCGCGUGAGGGAAGACGGUCCUAUGGAUUGUAAACCUCUUUUGUCGGGGAGCAAAAGACGCCACGCGUGGCGUUCCGAGAGUACCCGAAGAAAAAGCAUCGGCUAACUCCGUGCCAGCAGCCGCGGUAAUACGGAGGAUGCGAGCGUUAUCCGGAUUUACUGGGUGUAAAGGGAGCGCAGGCGGCGCGUUAAGCCUGGUGUGAAAGCCCGCGGCCCAACCGCGGGACUGCAUUGGGAACUGGCGCGCUGGAGUGCCGGAGGGGUAGGCGGAAUUCCUAGUGUAGCGGUGAAAUGCGUAGAUAUUAGGAGGAACACCAGUGGCGAAGGCGGCCUACUGGACGGUGACUGACGCUGAGGCGCGAAAGCGUGGGGAGCAAACAGGAUUAGAUACCCCGGUAGUC